AGGGGGAUGUGGGGGGGGGAGAGGAAGCAGAGAGAGGAGAACCCAUGGAGAUGGGAAGCAUAGAGAGGGGAAACAGAGGGGAACCAUGGAGAUGGGAAGCAUAGAGAGGGGAAUCAGAGCGGAACCAUGGAGAUGGGAAGCAUAGGAAGGGGAAUCAAGUGAACCAGAGAGAGGGGAACCCAUGGAGAUGGGAAGCAUAGAGAGGGGAAUCAGAGCAGAACCAUAGAGAUGGGAAUCAUGGAGAUGGGAAGCAUGGAGAGGGGAACUGGAGAGAGAGGAAACCAUGGAGAUGGGAACCAUAGGAAGGGGAAUCAAGUGAACCAGAGAGAGGGGAACCCAUGGAGAGGGGAACCAUGGGGGAACCAGAGAGAGGGGAAACCAUGGAGACCAUGGGAACCACAGAGAUGGGAACGCAUAGAGAGGGGAAUCAGAGCGGAACCAUGGAGAUGGGAAGCAUAGGAAGGGGAAUCAAGUGAACCAGAGAGAGGGGAACCCAUGGAGAGGGGAACCAUGGGGGAACCAGAGAGAGGGGAAACCAUGGAGACCAUGGGAACCACAGAGAUGGGAACCAUGAAGAUGGAAACCCAUAGAGAGUGGAAACAGAGAUAGGGAUCAUGCAGAGAGGAACCGUAGAAACAGAAACCGUCAAGAUGGGAACCAUGGAGAUGGAAACCCAUAAAGAGGGAACCAUAUAAAGGGGACACCAUGGAGAUGGGAACCAUAGAAAGGGGAAUCACAGAGAGGGGAACCUGAGAGAGCAGAAACAUGGGGAUGGGAACCAUGGGGAUGGGAACCAUGGGGAUGGGAACCAUGGGGAUGGGAACCCAUAGAGAGCAGAACCAUAGAGAUGGGAACCAUGGAAAGGGGAACCAGAGAGAGGGGAAUCAGAGUGGAGAACCAGAGAGAGAGGAAAGCAUGGAGAUGGGAACCAUAGAGAUUGGAAACAUAGGGGAACCAGAGAGAGGGGAACCAUGGAGAUGGGAACCACAGAAAGGGGAACCAGAGAGAUCAGAACCAGAGAGAGGGGAACUCAGAACAGAACCAUAGGGAGGGGAACCAUAGAAAGGGGAAUCAGAGAGAUGGGAACCAGAGAGAGGGGAGCCAUAGGGACAGAAACCAUGGAGAUGGAAACCAUAGAGUUGGGAACUCAGACAGGAACCAUAGAGAGGAGGGGAAUCAGGGGAAUCAGCAGAACCAUAGAGACAGAAACCAUGGAGAUGGGAACCAUAGAGUUGGGAACUCAGAGAGACAGGAACCAUAGAGAGGGGAAUCAGCAGAACCAUAGAGACAGAAACCAUGGAGAUGGGAACCAGAGAGAUGGGAACCAGGGAGAGGGGAACCAGGUGAAGGACGAGAGAAGGGCUUACAGGAUGUGGGGAUGGAGAUGUAGUGUACAGAAGCAAACGUGUGGGGUUGUCAGAAGAAUGGGGACUGCAGGCACGGUCAGCCAAGGAGGGGGUAGAGAACAUAAGGAGUGUGGGAGCAGCCUAAGGAUGUCAGCAGGGAGGCGAGGAGGCGUCCUGAGGCUCAGAGGAUCGCAGCGAGGAAGACUACGAUUCUUCAUCCCACCACCACCCGGAGGGGAGCCCCCACCUCUGACUGCUCAGGCAUCGGGGGGAAGGGGGGGGUCUGCAUGCUAA
ensembl:lncRNA